AUUGAACGCUGGCGGCAGGCUUAACACAUGCAAGUCGAGCGGGGUGAUGGUGCUUGCACUAUCACUUAGCGGCGGACGGGUGAGUAAUGCUUAGGAAUCCGCCUAUUAGUGGGGGACAACAUCUCGAAAGGGAUGCUAAUACCGCAUACGUCCUACGGGAGAAAGCAGGGGAUCACUUGUGACCUUGCGCUAAUAGAUGAGCCUAAGUCGGAUUAGCUAGUUGGUGGGGUAAAGGCCUACCAAGGCGACGAUCUGUAGCGGGUCUGAGAGGAUGAUCCGCCACACUGGGACUGAGACACGGCCCAGACUCCUACGGGAGGCAGCAGUGGGGAAUAUUGGACUAUGGGGGGAACCCUGAUCCAGCCAUGCCGCGUGUGUGAAGAAGGCCUUAUGGUUGUAAAGCACUUUAAGCGAGGAGGAGGCUCUUUUGGUUAAUACCCAAGAUGAGUGGACGUUACUCGCAGAAUAAGCACCGGCUAACUCUGUGCCAGCCGCCGCGGUAA
rnacentral:rRNA from 1 species